ensembl:lncRNA
AGAUUACCUCAGGGCGUAGGGGCUGCGCGGCUCAGCGCGGGAAAGAGCUGGGCUCUUGAGGAAGGUCGAUUAAAGCCAUAAACCAGGAGUAAGAUUUAGUGAGAUCUUAAAGAAAUGCUCCUUGAAGACCAGCUAGAACAACUUUUCCAAACACUGCCAGACUGUUCAACAUUCCUGUGUACAGUGAGGAGACAGUCACAAUAGUAGCUUUAUGGGUGCAACUGGAAUGCACAACUUGCUGAUAGAGUCAUCCAUGAAUCUCAGAAAUACCUUAAUACGGAAUUUGAAAAAGCAACUAGGGAUUUAAAGUUCCAAAAUAAAGCAACGAAAGAAAAGUUAUCUUAACUCUAACUUGCAUAUUUCAUCGGGAAUAAACUUCAGAUGACAUAAUCCUUCCAUUUUUGUAAUGUUACACGAGAUAAAGAAGUAGUUUAUUUUCAGUUGUCCUUUACUGGUACCUGCACUUCUUAUUGCCUUUGAUAGCAGUCAGACUAAUAACAUUAUUGCUUGCAAUAAUAAUGUUGCCAAUCCUAAACUGCAAUUUACUUAAAUGUUGAAACUGCACUGAAACCAGCUAUAUUUAUGUAUAACCAUUAUUUUGUUGUUGUUGCUUGCAAAUCUCCACUAGAACACUUAAUUGUUGUUAUAUUUCUGAUUACUUGUGCAGUGAUGAUUGACUCAUGGUGAAAAGGCUCCGCUAACACAAGCUCAGUAGGGGAUGAGUCAUUCCUAUCCUUUCUUUAGAUUAUAUUUUAAAAAUAAAUAAUUUCUCAUUUGUAUGGCCAUGGUUAGAUGAUAAAAGGUGAAAAACUAUUAUUAAAUGCAGUAUAAUAAAAUUAUAUGGCCUCAAGAAUUUAAUGAAUAUGGAAUAUUUUUUCCACAGUUAAUACUAUGCUGCGUUUAACUCAUGAGUGUAUUCUAUGAAUGAGAGCAGUUGCUGCACAUUGUAAUUUGUGUGACUACGCACGUGUGAAUCUGCUGUUAUUUAAAUUGGCACACAUUACUGACUAGUAGUCAGUCAUGUAACCAACAAAAUAUAAAUGGAAGUGUUUUAAAAAAAAAUAUUGUAACGAAACCUCCUCUUUCUGUAAUUGAGAAAUUGAGAUGCCCUGAUAUAGUGUUAAAAUGUCCUUAUUUUAAGUGGAUAUAAACAAGCGUUAUUCACUACAGUAAAUUUCUUC